rnacentral:lncRNA from 1 species
AGUUACAGUAGCAGUUAAAAUCGUUGUAGGAACAGCAACUACAAAUACUUGAUUGACUAACACUAGUACAACUAAGAUAUUUAUAGUACUUACCAUGCACCGGAGAGUUCACACACAUUAUUCUUUGCCUUUUGACCAUUUUCCUCCUUUGAGAUAAUUGUCUCCUCAUCUGUCUCUCCUCUCUCUCCUUUAGGCAUUUCAUCUGUGAAACUAUUUAUAUCCCUUAAGGGAUGCCCCUCCAUAUCUUUAUAUCUACUUCUCCUUCAUCCCAGCUCCAAUAUUGUGUCUUACCAUCAUUAUGUUUUGUAAAAGGAAAAAAGAAGCCAUUCCCUACUUUAAACUUCUCUGCUUUGUAUCUAGGACUGACAUUCAGACGUGGAGCAAGUUGGACUGCAUAGGGACCCACCAGUGAGAUGGACGCUGUCUGUAAACGACUUUCACUGAAUGUGCUAAGAAGAGAAACCCCUCUGCAGACACACACAGACGUUCUGCAGUUUCCCAAUCUCUGGUGCAGUUCUGGCCUUUUGGGGCUUUAAGGGCUUUGGCUAAGGUUCUCCAGGGAGGCUGCUCUGCCAAGUCUGGUAUUUCAUGAAUAGAUCUGAAAACAGACAUUAUCUCUUCUCCCAGUGAAGAGAGAGCGAUGAAGCCUCAGGACAAAAGGAGGCAGUGGGAUGAUGCCACCAAGGGACCAUUCUGAAGAGCCAUCAGCAAAAAGCAGCCACACCUGCUUAUGUGGCUCUGGGACAAAUGAUCUGAGCCGUGACGUGGAACUUAGAUGCAGUAAAGUCCAUUGUAUUGAGCCUUCUCUGGCACUCCUCCCAAAACAGAGAGACAACAGUUCUGUUAUGUUUUGUUUGGUUUGGUCUCCCUCAACUCAUCAAUGAGCCUUUUUAAAAAGAAUAAUUCGGUACUUUCUUUAAA